rnacentral:misc_RNA from 1 species
GCCUUUCUAUUUCAUUCAUUUUAAAUUAAAAUAUCAAAAAAUUUUCUAUUUUAAAUCAUUAUUAAGAAUUAAUAUUUUAUUAAUUUUAUUUUGAGAUAUUCGUUUCUUCAAAAAAAAAAAGAUUAAAUUAAUCAGUAUCAAUUUAAUAUAAAUUUAAUCAAUCAAAAUAGAAUUGACAAAACUUGCCAACCCUUUGACAAAAAAUAAGAUAAAUGACAACCAAAAAAAAUUAUACAAAACAAAAGAAUAAUACUCAAUUUAGUAAUCAAUCCUUAAGAAAAAAUAUAUUAUGUAAUUGUUUUUAUAGACAGAAAAAACCUAGGCAAGUACAAUACUACUUAUUGAAUAAUUACUACUUAUUGAAUCAUUGAAAAGAAAAUUAAGGAGCAAAAGCCCCUCUUGGUAAACCAAGAGGGAGUUUAUUGCUCCUUAAUAUUAUUAUUCUAUUUUCAAAACCUCCUAUACACUAAGACCAAGUCUUAUCC